UGGGGAAUUUUUGACAAUGGGGGAAACCCUGAUCCAGCCAUCCCGCGUGUGCGAUGAAGGCCUUCGGGUUGUAAAGCACUUUUGGCAGGAAAGAAACGUCAUGGGUUAAUACCCUGUGAAACUGACGGUACCUGCAGAAUAAGCACCGGCUAACUACGUGCCAGCAGCCGCGGUAAUACGUAGGGUGCAAGCGUUAAUCGGAAUUACUGGGCGUAAAGCGUGCGCAGGCGGUUCGGAAAGAAAGAUGUGAAAUCCCAGAGCUCAACUUUGGAACUGCAUUUUUAACUACCGGGCUAGAGUGUGUCAGAGGGAGGUGGAAUUCCGCGUGUAGCAGUAAAAUGCGUAGAUAUGCGGAGGAACACCGAUGGCGAAGGCAGCCUCCUGGGAUAACACUGACGCUCAUGCACGAAAGCGUGGGGAGCAAACAGG
rnacentral:rRNA from 1 species